GUGUCAGCCGCCGCGGUAAUACGGAGGGUCCAAGCGUUAUCCGGAAUCACUGGGUUUAAAGGGUGCGUAGGCGGCUUGGUAAGUCAGGGGUGAAAGCCCGGCGCUCAACGUCGGAAUUGCCUUUGAUACUGCUGAGCUUGAAUUAGGUUGAGGUAGGCGGAACGUGACAUGUAGCGGUGAAAUGCAUAGAUAUGUCACAGAACACCGAUUGCGAAGGCAGCUUACUGGACCUGGAUUGACGCUGAGGCACGAAAGCGUGGGGAGCGAACAGGAUUAGAUACCCCUGUAGUCC
rnacentral:rRNA from 1 species